rnacentral:lncRNA from 1 species
UUUCGUUUUCUGUACUGUUGUGGGAUUAACUGGCAUAUAUAGCAUUGCUAAAUGUCAACUAGCAGAUAAGAAUUGAAUGGAAAAGGUUCUUCCAUACUACAACCUAGAAAGUUAAAAUUGGAUGAAGAUUAAAUAUUUUCAGAUUGGUACUUUAUUACUAAAGAAUUUUACAACAUUUUCUUGAUUUUACCUAUCUGUCUGGAGAGUAUUUUCUAGUCUAUAUGGCUCUUACACAGC